rnacentral:rRNA from 1 species
GUAGGGAAUAUUGGGCAAUGGUCGGAAGACUGACCCAGCCAUGCCGCGUGCAGGAAGACGGCCCUCUGGGUUGUAAACUGCUUUUAUCUGGGAAGAAAAAGGCCAUGCGUGGCAAAUUGCCGGUACCAGAUGAAUAAGCACCGGCUAACUCCGUGCCAGCAGCCGCGGUAAUACGGAGGGUGCGAGCGUUGUCCGGAUUUAUUGGGUUUAAAGGGUGCGUAGGCGGCUGAUUAAGUCAGCGGUGAAAGACUUCGGCUGAACCGGGGCAGUGCCGUUGAUACUGGUUGGCUUGAGUGUCGGAGGGGUACAUGGAAUUGAUGGUGUAGCGGUGAAAUGCAUAGAUACCAUCAGGAACACCGAUAGCGAAGGCAUUGUACUGGCCGACAACUGACGCUGAUGCACGAAAGUGUGGGGAUCGAACAGGAUUAGAAACCCGAGUAGUCC